rnacentral:lncRNA from 1 species
AAUAGUUUCAGGUACAUGCUAUAGGGAAUUCAGUUGAUUUGUCCUGGUUAGAAAGCACUUUGUUCACACCUAUACAUAUGACUCUAGGUUAUGGGUUCUUCUGGAGUCUUCUGAACCUGCUGGGCAUUUCUGACUGGAUGAAAAUUAACAAAAGUCUAUGUUCAUCCUGAUGAAAAUUAGCAGCAGUUCAUCUUAGUUUAAUUGCCACAACGUGCAGCUAUGAGAGUCAUCCUGUUAUUUAAAGAAACCCACCAGUUAAACCUUUCCAGACAUUACAAGAAGGAUGGGAGGACAUUUUCAAUUAACGUUUUAAUUGCUG